AGGGCGUACGGUGAAUGCCUUGGUGCCAACAGGCGAAGAAGGACGCGGCAAGCUGCGAAAAGCCUCGGGAAGCUGCAAGCAAGCGAUGAUCCGGGGAUAUCCGAAUGGGGUAACCUGAUCGAGGCAAUACUCGAUCGUUCAUACCUGAAUACAUAGGGUAUGAAACGCGAAACCCGCUGAAGUGAAACAUCUCAGUAAGCGGAGGAAAAGAAAGAGAAAUCGAUUCCGUAAGUAGUGGCGAGCGAAAGCGGAUGGAGCCCAAACCGAAGGUAUUCCUUCGGGGUUGUAGGACCACGUCAUAUUCGACCAUACUGGAUAGUAGAACAGCCUGGAAAGGCUGGCCGGAGAAGGUGAAAGCCCUGUAGACGAAAUCCAGAGUGGGAAUUAGUGGUAUCCUGAGUAAUACAUCACACGUGGAACGAUGUAUGAACCCGCGCGGACCACCGCGCAAGGCUAAAUACUAGUUGGCGACCGAUAGUGAACAAGUACCGCGAGGGAAAGGUGAAAAGAACCGCUGUGAGCGGAGUGAAAUAGAACCUGAAACCGUAUGUCUACAAAGUGUCAGAGCAGAGCAAUCUGCGAUGGCGUGCCUUUUGUUUAAUGAGUCUGCGAGUCAGUGUUUGUGGCAAGACUAAGGGCUUCCGGCCCGGAGUCGCAGCGAAAGCAAGUCCGAACAGGGCGCAAUAAGUCGCAGGUACUGGACCCGAAGCGGAGGUGACCUACCCUUGGCCAGGUUGAAGCAUGGGUAAAACCAUGUGGAGGACCGAACAGGUGAACGUUGAAAAGUUCUCUGAUGAGCUGAGGGUAGGAGUGAAAGGCUAAUCAAACCCCGUGAUAGCUGGUUCUCUCCGAAAUGCAUUUAGGUGCAGCGUCACGUGCUGAUGCGCGGGGGUAGAGCACUGACAAGGCUAGGGGGCACACCCGCUUACCAAACCUUAUCAAACUCCGAAUACCGUGCAAUGGAACGUGGCAGUGAGACAGUGGGGGAUAAGCUUCAUUGUCGAGAGGGAAACAACCCAGACCAGCAGCUAAGGUGCCUAAAUAACGCUCAGUGGAAAGGAUGUGGGAUUACACAGACAGUGAGGAUGUUGGCUUAGAAGCAGCCACCAUUUAAAAAAUGCGUAAUAGCUUACUCAUCGAGUGAUCCUGCGCCGAAAAUGAUUGGCGAUCAAGCGUUAUACCGAAGCUCUGGACUUUGCCGCAAGGCAGAGUGGUAGAAGAGCGUUGCAUGCGCGUCGAAGGGCGAUGGCGACUGACCCUGGAGCACAUGCAAGUGAGUAUGCAGACAUGAGUAACGUUAAGCCGGGUGAAAUCCCCGGCCGCCGUAAACCCGAGGUUUCCAGGGCAACGUGUUUCGUCCCUGGGUUAGCCGGGACCUAAGCCGAGGCCGAGAGGCGUAGGCGAUGGACAUCAGGUUAAUAAUCCUGAGCUCGCAACCCUUAAACUGGGGGGACGCAUGAGAAAAGAUGACUAGGUUAUUGAAUUCCGAGUUGAGUCUACGGACUCAGCGCAUCAUUGGAUCGAGUGCCAAGAAAAGCCCCAGCGUAUGCUAAGCGACCCGUACCGCAAACCGACACAGGUGGGUGGGUAGAAUAUACCAAGGCGUAAGAGUGAAACCUGGUUAAGGAACUCGGCAAAUUAGCCCCGUAACUUCGGAAGAAGGGGUGCCUGCAGCGAUGCAGGCCGCAGAGAAAUGGCCCAACCGACUGUUUAUCAAAAACACAGCACUCUGCAAAGACGCAAGUCGAAGUAUAGGGUGUGACACGUGACCAAUGCCGAAAGAUUAAGGCAAGGGGUUAGCCGCAAGGCGAAGCUCUAAACCCAAGUCCCGGUGAAUGUCGGCCGUAACUAUAACGGUCCUAAGGUAGCGAAAUUCCUUGUCGGGUAAGUUCCGACCUGCACGAAUCGUGAAACGAGUUGGGCACUGUCUCAACCAGGCGCUCAGUGAAAUUGUAGUGGCGGUGAAGAUGCCGCCUACCCGCAGAAGGACGGAAAGACCCUAUAGACCUUAACUGUAAGCUGUCAUUGUUUCUUCGGUUUUAAUGCUCAGAGUAAGUGGGAGACGCUGAAGACGCCCUUUAGGGGGCGUCCGAGUCAUCAAUGAGACACCACCCUUUGAAACUGGAGGAUCUAACCCUGAGCCGUGAAUCCGGCCAGAGGACCGUGUCAGCCGGUCAGUUUUACUGGGGCGGUAUCCUCCCAAAGAGUAACGGAGGAGCGCGAAGGUGGGCUCAGCCCGGUUGGCAACCGGGUGUCGAGUGCAUGGGCAUAAGCCCGCCUAACUGUGAGACCAACAAGUCGAGCAGAUGCGAAAGCAGGCCCAAGUGAUCCGGCGGUAGAAAGUGGAAUUGCCGUCGCUCAACGGAUAAAAGGUACCUUAGGGAUAACAGGCUGAUCACGCCCAAGAGUUCAUAUCGACGGCGUGGUUUGGCACCUCGAUGUCGGCUCGUCGCAUCCUGGGGCUGGAGAAGGUCCCAAGGGUCCGGCUGUUCGCCGGUUAAAGCGGCACGCGAGCUGGGUUCAGAACGUCGCGAGACAGUUCGGUCCUCUAUCCUCUGUGGGCGUUGGAAAAUUGAGGGGUUCAGACCUUAGUACGAGAGGACCGGGUCUGACGCACCACUGGUGCAUCGGUUGUACUGUCAAGUGCAUGGCCGAGUAGCUAAGUGCGGACGGGAUAAGCGCUGAAAGCAUCUAAGCGCCAAGCCCUUCCCAAGAUGAGUUUUCCCUACAGGUUCGUGGAAGACCACCACGUUGAUAGGUCGCAGGUGUAAGUGCAGCAAUGUAUUGAGCCGAGCGAUACUAAUUACCAAUUGACUUCAUC
rnacentral:rRNA from 1 species